rnacentral:rRNA from 1 species
GAUGAACGCUGGCGGCGUGCCUAAUACAUGCAAGUCGAGCGAACAGACGAGGAGCUUGCUCCUCUGAUGUUAGCGGCGGACGGGUGAGUAACACGUGGAUAACCUACCUAUAAGACUGGGAUAACUUCGGGAAACCGGAGCUAAUACCGGAUAACAUGUUGAACCGCAUGGUUCAACAGUGAAAGACGGUCUUGCUGUCACUUAUAGAUGGAUCCGCGCCGCAUUAGCUAGUUGGUAAGGUAACGGCUUACCAAGGCAACGAUGCGUAGCCGACCUGAGAGGAUGAUCGGCCACACUGGAACUGAGACACGGUCCAGACUCCUACGGGAGGCAGCAGUAGGGAAUCUUCCGCAAUGGGCGCAAGCCUGACGGAGCAACGCCGCGUGAGUGAAGAAGGUCUUCGGAUCGUAAAACUCUGUUAUUAGGGAAGAACAAAUGUGUAAGUAACUAUGCACGUCUUGACGGUACCUAAUCAGAAAGCCACGGCUAACUACGUG